GGUUGAUCCUGCCAGUAGUCAUAUGCUUGUCUCAAAGAUUAAGCCAUGCAUGUCUAAGUACAUACCUUUGCACGGUGAAACCGCGAAUGGCUCAUUAAAUCAGUUAUGGUUCCUUAGAUCGUUCAUAUUACAUGGAUAACUGUGGUAAUUCUAGAGCUAAUACAUGCAAAAAGCUCCGACCGUAUGGGAAGAGCGCUUUUAUUAGACCAAAACCAAUGGGGUCGCAAGAUCCCUUUAUUUGGUGACUCUGGAUAACUUUGUGCUGAUCGCAUGGCCUCGAGCCGGCGACGUAU
rnacentral:rRNA from 1 species